rnacentral:misc_RNA from 2 species
AACGCAUCUUGCGCUCCUUGGUAUUCCGAGGAGCAUGCCUGUUUGAGUGUCAUUAAAUUCUCAAACCAUGACUUUUUGUUGUGGCUUGGAUAGUUGGGUGUUGCCAGCUUUUUUUUAUUGCAGGCUCACCUUAAAUACAUAAGUGGUGCAUUUAGAAACUUGUUAGGUGUUGUAAAUUAUCAAUACAUCUAUGUUUCUCUGAAUAUACUGCUUCUAACAAACCUCAUUUGAUGAUUUUGACCUCAAAUCAGGUAGGACUACCCGCUGAACUUAA